CCUACGGUAGGCAGCAGUGAGGAAUAUUGGUCAAUGGACGAGAGUCUGAACCAGCCAAGUAGCGUGAAGGAUGACUGCCCUAUGGGUUGUAAACUUCUUUUAUAUGGGAAUAAAAUGUUCCCCGUGUGGGAUUUUGUAUGUACCAUAUGAAUAAGGAUCGGCUAACCCCGUGCCAGCAGCCGCGGUAAUACGGAGGCUCCAGGCGUUAUCCGGAUUGAUUGGGUUAAAAGGGUGCGUAGGCGGUUGUUUAAGUCAGAGGGAAACUUUCGGGGUUUCACCUUGAAUUGCCAGUAAAGAUGGAGUACUAGAGUACAGAAGAGGUAGGAGGAAUAAGUUAAGUAGCGGUGAAAGGCGUAGAGAUAACGUAGAACCCCGAUAGCGAAGGCAGCUUACCAGACUGUUACUGACGCUGAAGCACGAGAGCGUGGGUAGCGAACAGGAUGAGAUACCCGAGUAGUC
rnacentral:rRNA from 1 species